rnacentral:rRNA from 1 species
UCGUGAGAGUUGGGUUAAGUCCGUAACGAGCGCAACCCUUGUCCUUAGUUACCAGCACGUAAUGGUGGGCACUCUAAGGAGACUGCCGGUGACAAACCGGAGGAAGGUGGGGAUGACGUCAAGUCAUCAUGGCCCUUACGGCCUGGGCUACACACGUGCUACAAUGGUCGGUACAAAGGGUUGCCAAGCCGCGAGGUGGAGCUAAUCCCAUAGAACCGAUCGUAGUCCGGAUCGCAGUCUGCAACUCGACUGCGUGAAGUCGGAAUCGCUAGUAAUCGCGAUUCAGAAUGUCGCGGUGAAUACGUUCCCGGGCCUUGUACACACCGCCCGUCACACCAUGGGAGUGGGUUGCACCACAAGUAGCUAGUCUAACCUUCGGGAGGACGGUUACCACGGUGUGAUUCAUGACUGGGGUGAAGUCGUAACAUGGUAC